CAGGAGUGUCAAAGCCCUCAGUGGAUGGUUCAACCCGAAGAGCUGCAGUGGCUGGCCUCAGAACAGAAAGGGGGAUUGGCGUCCUUCCCCAAACCGUGCUAUCUAUCGUGCACGAGAGCAGACUCACGCAGCAGGAGGGGAGGGCGACGCUGGCUGCUGACUCUGAUAGAAUCACUGUUGUAGUCAGCAGUUGCCAUGGAUUGUGAUUCCUGAUGCUCUGACUAAAGUGCUACUUCAAAAUAAGGGACCGUUCCCUUAGCUACCACGGGGGUAGCAGUAACCCCAAAUUAGAAGCCACGCACCGUGGAAGAGCUGCACCUAAGUCACUUUUGCAGGAAGUGCGAAUGUGGCUGCGGAUUUACAGGGGUGUAUACGUCAUCGCCCCUCCCACCUCGCUCCCACCCCCACUAGGCAACUCCUCAUCCCAGGUCUCACCGUCUUUGACCUGCUUUACCUGCAGGGUCCUGGCCCAAGCACGUGGCAGAGGGAGGCUUCUGGACUUCUGGGUCUCCCGGGGCAGCAGCGGCUGCAGGGCUGUGCCAGGGCCAGUGGGCUGCAAGUCACUUUUCCGUGAGAGAGCUGAGCUGACAGCAUCCGUCCAGGAAUCCUGCAGAGGAGCCACCCAGGCGCAGGAAGAUGCCAGCCACUUCCCGGAGCCUGGAGUACAGACAGCUCCCCUAGACGGCACGUUCCUGUUGUAAACCUGAACGUAACCUUGCUCCUCCAGAUGAGCUCAGGUUGCAACACCGGGUGACCACCUGCCUCAUCGCUCCCCAGCUCUUCUCUCUGUAUGGCUGUCACCUUCCUCCUCUUGCAUUGCAACUACGGAGAACUCCUGAGAACAAAUGGGGCAUGGCAAAGCCUCUGGAAGCAAUGUAAGAGUUUCACGCUGUUGUGACUGCAGCCCGGAAGAGUGCCGCCUGGACCUCAGAGCGCCCUGGCAGCUCUGCCGAUUGUACCACCAAGGAUGGAAAGCCAAGAGUGCAAGCUGCCGCCCCUCCGCCGGCUCCCCUGCCAAGAGCCUCCCUCUCCUGUCUCCAGCCUGCCCAGGGCUCCUCUGCCGGUGCCUGUCUGCCGCUGUCCCCCCUGGGGCUCGGGGACCGUGAGACAGUGUGCAACGCAGACUCCCUGCCCGAGCUGGGUGUCAGCACUUGCCAGUUCUGCUGGGAACACGGAGAAACUUGCCCCGGGGUGACCUCGCUGUCCCAUCCCUGGCCUCGGGUGUGCAAUUGUUUAUUUCCCAGCCUGGGAGACAGCCCUGAGCUCACUCACCCACAUUCUGGGCUGGGGCACACUGUACCUACGGUGCCCUUUUCCCUUAGAACAGGCCUGCUGCUGCCAAUGUUCUUUCAGCGACGUGCCCCACUGUCCACAGGCUGCGCACAGCCAGGGCUGGAGGGAGGCCGUGACCUGUGACCUUGGCUCUGCAAGGCCGCUGGGCUGCAGCCGGUGCACUUAACCUUUGUCCUUAAUGAUUUGCGUCAUGGGCCAUGUCUAUCUGAUUUCCUCUCCCCUCCCCAGGUUCAGACUGCAGGUGAGAUCCUCUCACUUGGACACCUCCGAAUUCACGGAGCCACUGAUACUAUUUUUAGCAGAAGGCAAGCUGGUUCUCCCAGAAAGGUAGCUCCUGCCCGGCAGCCUCCCAGGGCUGCCCAGGGAUCACUGACGCGGAUGCGGAUCGGCUGCAAGGGUUUCUCUCGGAGGCAGACACCUGUCUCCAGAAACUGUACUCACCUGGGAUCAAAGACCAGCCAGGUCUGCUGAACUCCAAGUUCAGAUGAGCAGCACCCGAUGCAGGCUUGCUACCUGGUCAGGCAUUGCUGGAGGCAUUCGCGCCUCCUCCAGGGUGUUGUAUCUUCAAUGUUAAACCACAGAGCAGGCGCCUGAGAUGUGGCAUGGCAGGUGAAGCCACCGCCUGCAGAGCCAGCAUCCCAUGGGGGCACCUGUUCAAAUCUCAGCUGCUCCACUUCCCAUCCAGCUCUCUGCUGUGACCUGGGAAAGCAGUAGAAGAUGGCCCAAGUCCUUGGGUCCCUGCACCCACGUGGGAGACCUGGAAGAAGUUCCUGGCUUCAGAUCAGCACAGCUCCAGUGUUGUGGCCAUCUUGGGAAUGAACCAGUGGGUGGAGGACCUCUCUCUCUGCCUUUCAAAUAAAUAAAUAAAUCUUAGAAAAAAAAAAAA